rnacentral:ribozyme from 1 species
UGCCCAGCAACUCCUAUCCCUACCUCCUCGCGGUACCGGCCGGAAACUAUUAGCAACCUUAGGGACCGGUAACCAACCCCGGUGGGAACUUUGGCCAUAGGCUGACAGGGAAGG